rnacentral:misc_RNA from 1 species
GAUGAAGAACGUAGCGAAAUGCGAUAAGUAGUGUGAAUUGCAGAAUUCAGUGAAUCAUCGAAUCUUUGAACGCACAUUGCGCCCCUCGGUAUUCCGUGGGGCAUGCCUGUUCGAGCGUCAUUUACCCCCUCAAGCUCAGCUUGGUGUUGGGCCCCGCCGCCCCGGCGGGCCCUAAAGUCAGUGGCGGUGCCGUCCGGCUCCGAGCGUAGUAAUUCUUCUCGCUCUGGAGGUCCGGUCGUGUGCUCGCCAGCAACCCCCAAUUUUUUUCAGGUUGACCUCGGAUCAGGUAGGGAUACCCGCUGAACUUAAGCAUAUCAAUAAGCGGAGGA